UACUUUCUUUUCCUUGCCUUUCAAUUGCAAAUGGAUGACACGACAAAUUUGAUCCUGAGGAUAUUGUGACAAAUCACCGUCAAGUUGUUGUAGGCCUUUACAAUUAACUGUACAGAUAUGAAGAUGUUUGUUUAACACAAUAGUUGAUAAGAAGACAGCUCUGACUGGUUUUGAAUGAUAGAAUGUGACCAGAUCAAUAAAAAAUGGAUUUUUAUCAUUAUAACUUUAUUAGAAAUUUUUAACAGUUUGCUUGAUAAUGAUUGUUUGAAAUAAGCAGUUUGGUGCCAAUAAAAAGCUUUGUAUGUUA